rnacentral:rRNA from 1 species
GCACGAGCGCACCCUUGUCCUUAGUUGCCAGCACAUUAUGGUGGGGACUCUAAGGAGACUGCCUGGGAUAACCAGGAGGAAGGUGGGGAUGAUGUCAAGUCAGUAUGUCCCUUAUGUCCAGGGCUACACACGUGUUACAAUGGCCAGUACAAAGGGUUGCCAACCCGCGAGGGGGAGCUAAUCCCAAAAAACUGGCCUCAGUUCAGAUUGAAGUCUGCAACUCGACUUCAUGAAGGAGGAAUCGCUAGUAAUCGCGCAUCAGCACGGCGCGGUGAAUACGUUCCCGGGUCUUGUACACACCGCCCGUCACGCCAUGGAAGUCAGCAGUACCCAAAGCCGGUGGCCUAACCUUCGGGAGGGAACCGUCUAAGGUAAGGCUGGUAACUGGGGCGAAGUCGUAACAAGGUAGCCGUACCGGAAGGUGCGGCUGGAUCA